CUGAGCUCUCCAAAUAAGGAACCCUGUGGUUGCCAAGCAACCACAGAUUUUCUACAAGUGUCUGUGCCAUGUGUACUUAAACUGCAGUCGGCCUUUUUUUCCUUUAACUUUUCCAAGUUUAGAAAAAUGAAUAUAUGAAAUACAAGUAAAGCUAUGUGUGUUUUGAAGAAGGUACUGGGAACUCGGAAACCACCAAAAUAGCAGAAUCCCCUUCCAGAUGUUGUGUCCAGAGUAUCAGCUGAGAACCUAAACGAACAGAAAACAAAAUAUAUUUUUCUUCCUCUACCAAAGUUCAUGAGCAAGAAAGGAUGUGAAAAAAGAAAAAUGGCUGGUCUGGAAGUAUAUCAGAGAGUGGAGAAAAUCUGGAGGUGUUAAG
rnacentral:lncRNA from 1 species